GGCUCCGCAGGCGGUUUCUUAAGUCUGAUGUGAAAGCCCCCGGCUCAACCGGGGAGGGUCAUUGGAAACUGGGAAACUUGAGUGCAGAAGAGGAGAGUGGAAUUCCACGUGUAGCGGUGAAAUGCGUAGAGAUGUGGAGGAACACCAGUGGCGAAGGCGACUCUCUGGUCUGUAACUGACGCUGAGGAGCGAAAGCGUGGGGAGCGAACAGGAUUAGAUACCCUGGUAGUCCACGCCGUAAACGAUGAGUGCUGAGUGUUAGGGGGUUUCCGCCCCUUAGUGCUGCAGCUAACGCAUUAAGCACUCCGCCUGGGGAGUACGGUCGCAAGACUGAAACUCAAAGGAAUUGACGGGGGCCCGCACAAGCGGUGGAGCAUGUGGUUUAAUUCGAAGCAACGCGAAGAACCUUACCAGGUCUUGACAUCCUCUGACAACCCUAGAGAUAGGGCUUUCCCUUCGGGGACAGAGUGACAGGUGGUGCAUGGUUGUCGUCAGCUCGUGUCGUGAGAUGUUGGGUUAAGUCCCGCAACGAGCGCAACCCUUGAUCUUAGUUGCCAGCAUUCAGUUGGGCACUCUAAGGUGACUGCCGGUGACGAACCGGAGGAAGGUGGGGAUGACGUCAAAUCAUCAUGCCCCUUAUGACCUGGGCUACACACGUGCUACAAUGGACAGAACACAGGGCUGCAAGACCGCAAGGUUUAGCCAAUCCCAUAAAUCUGUUCUCAGUUCGGAUCGCAGUCUG
rnacentral:rRNA from 1 species